rnacentral:rRNA from 1 species
UACGAAGGGUGCAAACGUUGCUCGGAAUUAUUGGGCGUAAAGCGCACGUAGGCGGCUUAGCAAGUCGGAUGUGAAAUCUCCGGGCUUAACCCGGAAAGGUCAGCCGAUACUGCGGGGCUAGAGUGCAGAAGGGGCAACUGGAAUUCUCGGUGUAGCGGUGAAAUGCGUAGAUAUCGAGAGGAACACCUGCGGCGAAGGCGGGUUGCUGGGCUGACACUGACGCUGAUGCGCGAAAGCCAGGGGAGCAAACGGG